rnacentral:lncRNA from 1 species
AACCCUGGAGCUAAAAACCACCAUGACCAACUGAGGCUCCCAGCCACAGCAAACAUCCUCCCUGCUGAAACUCUGCCUCCCACACCAAUGAAACGUAGCGCUAGACUACGCUCCAAGAAACUUAAAUCCUUAGGACUCAUAGAAUCAGAGGUUUCAUCGCAAGAUCUACUUUACAUCAACUCCCUCACAGUUGCUGAAAUCAAGUCAUUGGGUAAGCACUGCGGUAUCCUUUUCAGCGACCACGGCGACACUGACGUCGCCAAGCUGAGAGAUAUGGAGUAAGGCACGAUGCAAUCAGGCAGCCUCAGUUUGCCCAUGAGCAGGUCAGAUCAUAGUGUUCAGACAUCCGUGAUUUGGCAACUUUUUGGAAUGACAGACCCCAAGCAGAACUUCUCACAGCCUGCGCCUCUUCACUCCAUCUUCGUCCACUGUAUUAACCACCUACCAAGCUUGCUUUCGUUGUUGUCCAACCAGC